rnacentral:rRNA from 1 species
GACGAACGCUGGCGGCGUGCCUAAUACAUGCAAGUCGAACGAACCGCGACUAAGUGCUUGCACCAAGUCAAGGUGAGUGGCGAACGGGUGAGUAACACGUGGGUAACCUACCUCAUAGUGGGGGAUAACAGUCCGAAACGACUGCUAAUACCGCAUAGGACAGAGGAUCACAUGAUCCAGUGAGGAAAGGUGGCGCAAGCUAUCGCUAAGAGAUGGACCCGCGUUGCAUUAGCUAGUUGGUAGGGUAAAGGCAUACCAAGGCGAUGAUGCAUAGCCGACCUGAGAGGGUGAUCGGCCACAUUGGGACUGAGACACGGCCCAAACUCAUACGGGAGGCAGCAGUAGGGAAUCGUCCGCAAUGGACGCAAGUCUGACGGAGCAACGCCGCGUGAGUGAAGAAGGUCUUCGGAUCGUAAAGCUCUGUUGUUAGAGAAGAACAGCGCAUAGAGUAACUGCUAUGCGUGUGACGGUAGCUAACCAGAAAGCCACGGCUAACUACGUG